UUAGUAUUCUCUUGGUCUUAAAAAAUUUGUUUUAAAUUUGUCUAGAUAUAAAUGUAUCUAGUCAUAUUUGAAUAUUUAGAUAUAUUCAUUUUUAGACAAACCUAAGACAAGAAUUUUGGGACAAAGGGAGUACUAA
rnacentral:pre_miRNA from 2 species